rnacentral:rRNA from 1 species
CGAGCGAAGCGGCUGAAUGAUUCUUCGGAUGAUUUUCAGUUGACUGAGCGGCGGACGGGUGAGUAACGCGUGGGUGACCUGCCCCAUACCGGGGGAUAACAGCUGGAAACGGCUGCUAAUACCGCAUAAGCGCACAGAGCUGCAUGGCUCGGUGUGAAAAACUCCGGUGGUAUGGGAUGGGCCCGCGUCUGAUUAGGCAGUUGGCGGGGUAACGGCCCACCAAACCGACGAUCAGUAGCCGGCCUGAGAGGGCGACCGGCCACAUUGGGACUGAGACACGGCCCAAACUCCUACGGGAGGCAGCAGUGGGGAAUAUUGCACAAUGGGGGAAACCCUGAUGCAGCGACGCCGCGUGAGCGAAGAAGUAUUUCGGUAUGUAAAGCUCUAUCAGCAGGGAAGAUAAUGACGGUACCUGACUAAGAAGCCCCGGCUAACUACGUGCCAGCAGCCGCGGUAAUACGUAGGGGGCAAGCGUUAUCCGGAUUUACUGGGUGUAAAGGGAGCGUAGACGGCAAGGCAAGUCUGAUGUGAAAACCCAGGGCUUAACCCUGGGACUGCAUUGGAAACUGUCUGGCUCGAGUGCCGGAGAGGUAAGCGGAAUUCCUAGUGUAGCGGUGAAAUGCGUAGAUAUUAGGAAGAACACCAGUGGCGAA